rnacentral:rRNA from 1 species
UAGGGAAUCUUCCACAAUGGACGCAAGUCUGAUGGAGCAACGCCGCGUGAGUGAAGAAGGUUUUCGGAUCGUAAAGCUCUGUUGUUGGUGAAGAAGGAUAGAGGCAGUAACUGGUCUUUAUUUGACGGUAAUCAACCAGAAAGUCACGGCUAACUACGUGCCAGCAUCCGCGGUAAUACGUAGGUGGCAAGCGUUGUCCGGAUUUAUUGGGCGUAAAGCGAGCGCAGGCGGAAUGAUAAGUCUGAUGUGAAAGCCCACGGCUCAACCGUGGAACUGCAUCGGAAAAUGUCAUUCUUGAGUGAAGAAGAGGAGAGUGGAAUUCCAUGUGUAGCGGUGGAAUGAGUAGAUAUAUGGAAGAACACCAGUGGCGAAGGCGGCUCUCUGGUCUGCAACUGACGCUGAGGCUCGAAAGCAUGGGUAGCGAGCAGG